UACGGAGGGAGCUAGCGUUGUUCGGAAUUACUGGGCGUAAAGCGCACGUAGGCGGCUAUUCAAGUCGGGGGUGAAAGCCCGGGGCUCAACCCCGGAACUGCCCUCGAAACUAGAUAGCUAGAAUCUUGGAGAGGCGAGUGGAAUUCCGAGUGUAGAGGUGAAAUUCGUAGAGAUCAGGAAGAACACCCGUGGCGAAGGCGGCUCUCUGGGACGGUACUGACGCUGAGGAGCGAAAGCCAGGGGAGCAAACGGG
rnacentral:rRNA from 1 species